ACUGGGUUGCCCUGAGGUCAGGUGCGCAGUGAAACAUUCAGCUUUCUUUCAUCAAUCUUGGCCCAAGCCGACAAAAACUGGCCUGGGCAGCCUUUCACAGAGGACACGGGCUGGACUCUGUACUAGAACAUUCCGAGUUAAAUAAAAGCUUUCUUUUUUUUAACAAAAAUCAUAACUUCAGCGAAAGUGGUUGCUUGGAAAAACUCGGAAGUUAAGGCAGGAUUUAAAUGAACGAGUCAUUUAUUUGAUUUUUAUAAUCAAUUGUGCGGACGCAGUGUCCGCCGUGUUUAAAAAAAUCCAAUUCUUUUAAAAAAAACAAUUUGGGAAGUGUCUAUUGGAGUCACUGACAGACGUAACCCUAACCAUGCUUUCUGAAUGCCUGCUACAAGUCGGCAAGAUUGGGCGAUACUGAACUAGCGACCUAAACCGUAAAAUAGUUUGUUGUUUAAGAGUUGAAAGUGUCUUUUCCCCCCAUCCGAAGGAACCCCAGCUUCUCACAAAAAAAGCAACAAUGCAGCUAUGCCCGCACAAAACCCGAUCGAUACUGUCGUUACACUUAGAGAAAUAUCGAUAUUCACGCGCCCUCGGAUCAGUGGGAAUGUGGGCAUUUAACUCCUAGUCAGAGAUGGUUUGUAUUGAGAUUGCAAUUGGGCGAUAGUCGUUUUUCCAAGACAUGGUUUUGAUUCCAUUAUCAGCUUUGAAAAUCCCUCACGUCCAGUCCUGCGAGAGAGUGACAAAUCUCUCUGUAUCGCAGUAUAAGGAUUUUUUCUCUCUCUUUAAUUAAUAUUCUGUCCUCUCUGGAAGCCGUUCCAAAAGGUUAGUUAAACCAUCUGGGAGUCAGCGGCCUGACACCUUCACUGCCUGACCAGGGAUCCUUCUUUGAAACUUAAAAUGACUGAUACUACAUUGGAAACAACUGGACAAACCAACUGGCAAUGAAGAUCAUCUUAUUUGGGAUUGUUUCCUAAAUCUAUAUCCUGUGGUACCAGCCAGCAAUCAGACUGAAACCCAGUAUCUGUAAGAUCCCAAGUGAAGAAUGGAAGGAGGCAGAAACCAAGAACCACUUGGCCGAGAUACUUGAUGCUUCAGAAACUUGGCUGCUGAAACCAAGGAUGUACCUGUCAACUUUACUCUUCUGCCUCCAGUCUGGAAGGAUAACACCAUUUUCCCAUAAGAUCACGAGACAGGAGUUUCAAUCAUGGAGCGCUGAUGGACAUCAUACAAGCUUCAUCCAUGUGUCCUUCCUGCAAUCUGUCCUGAUGCCAUUUAAUAAUGAACUGGAAGAAUGACAGGCCAUGCCUCUUACUUUGGCACAUCUAUAAGUAGAAAAAGACUUAUAAUAAAAAGUGUCAGAGGAAUGAUACAUAAACUCAUAUUCUAAUUUCUUUCUCAAAUUGAAUGUCAAAAAAUUUCAAUUUUUACAAAUUUACUAAGUUUUGCAACAAUAAACAAGAACAAUAAUCUCGGGUUUAGAUCAGAGUGGUGCUGGAAAAACACAGCAGG